rnacentral:lncRNA from 10 species
UGAUACUGGAGUACUUAAGGAAAGCUUCGAAGAAUGGGAGGAAAUGAGCCCUGUGUCCAUGCGGUUGAGUUCAGCGGGCAGGGAAGGAGCGUGGUCGUACCUAAUACCUGACAGCAGCAUUGAAAAGACAAAAAAAGGUGGAAAAUUGGACACAGACAUGCUCAAAGAGAAAAUGUGAUGUUGAAAGCAGAAAUCUACAAGGGAAGUAACGCUAAGAUUGUGGACAGCCACCAGAAGCUAGAGGAGAGGCACAGAUUCUGCAUCACUAUGCUCAGAAGGAACCAACCCUGCCAACGCUUUGAUUUCAGACCUCUGCCUCCAAAACUGAACUGUGAGACAAUUC